rnacentral:siRNA from 1 species
AUAAAAAAAAUCGAAACCCAGUG